CCCAGGUCAGGCGGGGCUACCCGCUGAAUUUAAGCAUAUCAAUAAGCGGAGGAAAAGAAACU
rnacentral:rRNA from 1 species